rnacentral:lncRNA from 1 species
GCAUAUACUAAUCAUUUUUUGGUUAGGUAGUCGAGUAACUGUUUAUUAGAACCUUUGUCAGUUCAUUCACCUAAAGAAGCAGAUGAGCCAUGUGUGGCCUUAGAAGAUGGUGUUGUAGAUGCAUUUCGUGCUCCUGGAUGCCCUCUUAUUUUUUUGUGUACGAGGGUAGUGUAUUUAGGUUGCAUAUUCUGACCAUUUGUUAUUAGGCACUAUCGGUCAGAGAUGGCUAAUUGUAGAAACUUGAUAUGUAUUUAGGGCUAUAUCUCUGUUAAUUCUUCUCUAUUAUAACUGUCUUAAAAUUCCAGUAAAAUUACUUAUUGAAUUUUUUGUAGCUUAAAUUUGGUUUUGUUUUGUUUCAGAUUUUGAUGAAUUAUGAUGUUGAAGGGUUUCGACUCUUUUGUAAUCUACUUUGCUUUGACUAAUGAUGUUCAAUCCUACAGAUAUUAUAUCUUUGUAGAUUCAAUUUUCCGUUGUUAAAUUUAAGUGAUCUUUUAUUUUUCCUUUGUGGCUUGCAUGCAUGCAUGAGUGUCGAAAAGGUCACUGGAGUGUUAUUUUUUGGUUGUUGGGCACUUGCAUUAAUUGUAUUUACUCUCCUACAACUGCAGAUUUAUGUGCCCAUACAUUAUGAAGCUCAUUGGUACAUGCUUGUUAUUGACAUUCUUCGUCAAACUGCUGAUAUUUGGGAUUCAUUGGAAUCUCUCAGUCAAAGAGAAAAAAUGAUUAAUCAGUCAUUGACAAUUGUAUGUUCUUAGGAGGAUUGACUACAUUUGUGCGUUAGUCGGAAUUUGAUUAAAUAACAUUCUAAAUUUUGUUAACACUUAUUCUGGUUGAUGUUGGCAGCUCGCCUCACUGGAUUUUUUGCUACUUAGAGAGGCUCGACUUCGUUUUGGUUCAAAUUUCAAUUUUCUGCAUUUUCAACUUGGUCGUCAAACUGGUUUGCCACAACAGCCAAAUGAUUUUGAUUGUGGAUACUACACCUUGAAAUAUAUGGACAAUCCCUCUAUUGUUGCUGACCAGUCUUAUCAGGUAUAUGCUUUUUUUUUUUUCAAUCUUGAACAUUGAUGAUUCUGAUAUUUAGUUCAUGAUCAAUGCUUUCUUCAGACCAUUUAUCAGUCAUUAUGUUUAAUGAUUCUGUAUUUAGAUUAAUAACAAUGAUAACAGAGGAGUACUGCAAAGAAGUAAUAAAUAUUAAAGUUUUCUUUAUGAAGAGUACUUUUAAGGCAUAACUAGGAGUACUCGAUAAUUUUUUUUCCUUUUAAGGAUGUAUUAAGCAAGCUGUUUUUAGAAGAUAUCUAGUUUUGAAAGCAAUAAGACAUACUUUUUAGCAAGUAAACAAGCACCAAAAAUGUGAAUUGUUAAAAAUCUGCAUAUGUAAAAGGCCAAGUAUUUAUAUUUAAGAAGCAUUAUUAUAUGUUGCAAGUCAACUACUUUUGUGAAAAAAUAAGCUUGCUGCUAGUAAUUAGGUAACAACCACUGGAGUCGUGAACUAUGUGGACUUUGUUAUUUUUAUAUAAAUUCAUCUUGUGAGCAUAUAGAAAUUGUUGUAAUUAGUGUUUCUUUUUUGUUAGCACGAUUCGGAUUAUGCUCGCAUCCUGUUGGCACUCUAUCCAGCACAAUCUCCACUUAAUGAUAUUCUAGGAAAUAAAAUCAUUAACCUUAAAGGAUUAUUGUUAUUAUUAUUAUCAAUUAUAUUGAGACAACACAAUAAAAAAUAAAAAUACUGAUACUAUAAAAUAUUUAUUUUAGUUAUCAAAUAAUUAUAUAUACAUAUUGAGAAAUAUUAUAUGUGUGUGUGUGUGUGUUUAUAAAUAUUGAAAUAAAUUUCAUUCAAUAUUAUGUCUAAUUUAGUCAUUUACAUUUUUACUGUAGAUUAACAGUACGAUUUACCAAAUAUAUACAACCGCUUUUAAAACUAACAGUACUUUUAAAAAUAAAUUAUACCAAAUAUUUCACUGAUUCUUUCACAUGUAAUUGUUUCUAUAACACAGUUACCAACGAUUAUUUUACAAGUUAUAACAUUACCAAACUAGCCCUUAAUCCAACAUUGAGCUCAUUUGUAAAUAAUUAUAUAGUGUGGAUUGUCUUAAAAGGUUAAAGCUACUUAACAGUAAUCUAUUAAAUUUUCAGUAAUUUAAGUUUUAAUAUAUUUAAUGCAGUGUGACAUUUUAAUAUAUAGAGAUUUAAGAGUAAUUUUUUAUUUUUAUGAUCAGUUAAAAUAGGAAACCUAAAAAUAACAUAGAAAAUUAUUUAUAUCGGUAUUUAUAAUCCCUAGGGCACACGUAACAUUUUCUUAUUUUAUGACAUCUCAUCAUCACAGAGAGUGCAUAGCACGAUUCGGAUUAUGCUCGCAUCCUGUUGGCACUCUAUCCAGCACAAUCUCCACUUAAUGAUAUUCGGCAUAAACUCAUGCAAGAUGCUUCCAAUGGAUAUGGAAAGUGUGGUGCUGCUGACUCGCAAAGGGCCCCUUGUAAACAAACUUCAGAAUUAAGAAAAGCUGCCAGAAAUAUUAAUCUUAACCAGACACCGUCCGAGGCUUUAUUAAAAACAUUACUAUGAUCUCUAAAGGUAUGUUAAGUCGCUUGUCAUUCCCAUUUUUGAUCUUAUGUCCUAUGCUUAUCAAUUGUUAUUAAGUUGUUUUUUCUAUUUCUUUUAGUGAGUUAUGAUGUUUUUGGUAGACCAAUUAAACUUGUUAUUAAUCAUCUGCUUGUGUUUUGAACUAGGUGUCACUACACUUGGAAUGGCAGCUUUUAUAUUUUGGUAUUCGAAACCAUUUUGUUUUUGAAUAUUUUUGUAACAACACCUUUUUUGUAUAGCAUAUACUAAUCAUUUUUUGGUUAGGUAGUCGAGUAACUGUUUAUUAGAACCUUUGUCAGUUCAUUCACCUAAAGAAGCAGUCAAGCAGAUGAGCCAUGUGUGGCCUUAGAAGAUGGUGUUGUAGAUGCAUUUCGUGCUGCUGGAUGCCCUCUUAUUUUUUUGUGUCCGAGGGUAGUGUAUUUAGGUUGCAUAUUCUGACCAUUUGUUAUUAGGCACU